CGCCUUUGAUAACACUGGCAAAUAGGCAGAGCUCAACCCGCAAAUGAAGAAAUUUGAUUCUCUCUUUAGGUGUUCUGUCGGUGCUUCUUUGAUGGUGAAGGCAACCAUUUUUAGAAUCCUUAUUACCAUGGCGUAAUCUGAGGAAACAAAUUGGAAUGCCUCUAGUGUGUGUUCUUUAAAUAAGAAUGUCUUAAUUUUUGUUUAUGCAGACAAAAGGACGGGCUCAUGAUGAUGAGGCAAUUGAGAAAAUGUUGAACGACCUGUCAUUGAUCAAGAAAUUUGAAUAGUGGAAGCAACAUCUUAAUGUGAUACCAGUUUUAACUGGGAAUUCAUGAUAUGUUCAUGUAAAGUUUAGCUGUUUAAAUCUAAAAUCUUAUCAUACCAAUUGAUGUGUUUCGUAUGGCUAUGAAAUCUUGUUUUGUAAUACUACUUCGCUACUAAUGCAACGUGAGCAUACAGAUUACAUGCUAGUUUUCCGC
rnacentral:misc_RNA from 1 species